UACGUAGGGUGCGAGCGUUAAUCGGAAUUACUGGGCGUAAAGCGAGCGCAGACGGUUACUUAAGCAGGAUGUGAAAUCCCCGGGCUUAACCUGGGAACUGCGUUCUGAACUGGGUAGCUAGAGUAUGUCAGAGGGGGGUAGAAUUCCACGUGUAGCAGUGAAAUGCGUAGGGAUGUGGAGGAAUACCGAUGGCGAAGGCAGCCCCCUGGGAUAAUACUGACGUUCAUGCUCGAAAGCGUGGGUAGCAAACAGG
rnacentral:misc_RNA from 1 species